rnacentral:rRNA from 1 species
CCUACGGGAGGCAGCAGUGAGGAAUAUUGGUCAAUGGGCGUAAGCCUGAACCAGCCAAGCCGCGUGAGGGAUGAAGGCUCUAUGGAUCGUAAACCUCUUUUAUAAGGGAAUAAAGUGUGGGACGUGUCCUAUUUUGUAUGUACCUUAUGAAUAAGGAUCGGCUACAUCCGUGCCAGCAGCCGCGCUACUACGGAGGAGCCGAGAGUGAUCCGGAUUUAUUGGGUUUAAAGGGUGCGUAGGCGGCCUUUUAAGUCAGCGGUGAAAGUCUGUGGCUCAACCGUAGAAUUGCCGUUGAAACUGGCGGGCUUGAGUAUGGUUGAGGCAGGUGGAAUUCGUGGUGUAGCGGUGAAAUGCUUAGAUAUCACGAAGAACUCCGAUUGCGAAGGCAGCUUACUAAACUGCCACUGACAUUGAUGCUCGAAAGUGUGGGUAUCAAACAGGAUUAGAUACCCCAGUAGUC